GUGGAGAUGGAAAGGAGGCUAGAUUAGCGUGGGGUAGGAAAAAGCGAAAGUCAUGUCAGACCAAUCGCAGCUGAGACAGACGGAGCAUUGUGCGCAUCUCUGCCCUAGAUAAUUAAUAUCCGUGGUCGGUAGUUUUCUGCGGGCGAGCGCGGUGCAUCGCGCCGACAUAGUCUCCGCGCCACGUCGAUUGCUUCAUUUUCCCGUCGAGCUAAUUGAUUAAAGGGAUUAUUAUUACGACGCCGUGAGCAGGAUGCUCCGCCGACCGGCACACAGCCGAUUUCCUCGCCUCGUCGCCACUCUCGUUUAUGACAGCCGUUACGAAGCAAAUAAAGCUACUACGUGUCAAUUCGGAUGCGAAAUUUUAAUUAAUAUAUAAAUUGCGGAUUGUUACGUAUUUGUGAAAAAUUUGAGAGCACAAAAUACAUAAAAUGCCUGGAAAGAUCUUCAUACGGAAAAUAUUGAAAGAUACGCGCACUUUUUACGCGUAUUUUUAACUUGCAUUAGGAUUCGUAAUUGUGAAGAUGAUCGGAUGUUCGAUAUCAGUAUUAGAUAUCAAAUUAACGAAGUAAUUAGUGCGAUGCCAUAUUCUGUGAGUAAGAUGGAGAAAAAGUUUGAAAUCACAAUCUGUACGUGGUUGCAUUAAUGGAAAUACAAGUUUGAAAAGUGAAAAUUGGUCAAUUGAGUAAUUUCCUCACCUGCCUUGUUUUAUCUCAGUAAAUCAUCAAUCUUUUCUUAAAGAAUAGAAAUAUUGCACGAUAUUAUUUAUAAUAUGCAAUAUGGAGCGUCAAUUAAACAAACUGUAAUCUUCUUCAUUUUUAAAAUUACUCCGAUAGAAGUCAUUGUAAUGAUUAUGUACUUUUUGUAGAUAUUUUUGUAUUGAUAUUGAUAAUACCACAUAAUAUUCUAUAAUAGAUGUUUAAUCAUACAGUUACUACAACGUUAACUGCGUGAUAAUAAAAUGUCAUUUUUCUACCGAUAUUAAUUGCAAACAAAAUAUAGUAAUAAUUACGCGUCGGAAAAAUGUACUUUCUGAAACGUGAAUACGAUUUUGAAAUAUUAAAAUACGAAUAUUAAAAUUUGAACGAAUAAAUUCCCCAGUGAAAUUUGGUUUCAGAAUCUGUGCUCGAAAUGUCAGGCUGUAG